AUUGAACGCUGGCGGCAUGCUUUACACAUGCAAGUCGAACGGCAGCGCGGGCUUCGGCCUGGCGGCGAGUGGCGAACGGGUGAGUAAUACAUCGGAACGUGCCCAGUAGUGGGGGAUAGCUCGGCGAAAGCCGGAUUAAUACCGCAUACGACCUGAGGGUGAAAGCGGGGGAUCUUCGGACCUCGCGCUCUUGGAGCGGCCGAUGGCAGACUAGGUAGUUGGUGGGGUAAAGGCCUACCAAGGCGACGAUCUGUAGCUGGUCUGAGAGGACGACCAGCCACACUGGGACUGAGACACGGCCCAGACUCCGACGGGAGGCAGCAGUGGGGAAUUUUGGACAAUGGGCGAAAGCCUGAUCCAGCAAUGCCGCGUGUGUGAUGAAGGCCUUCGGGUUGUAAAGCACUUGUGGCGGGAACGAAAAGGACUGUGCCAAUACCACGGUUCGAUGACGGUACCCGCAGAAUAAGCACCGGCUAACUACGUG
rnacentral:rRNA from 1 species